UACGUAGGGUGCGAGCGUUGUCCGGAAUUACUGGGCGUAAAGAGCUCGUAGGUGGUUUGUCGCGUUGUUCGUGAAAACUCACAGCUUAACUGUGGGCGUGCGGGCGAUACGGGCAGACUGGAGUACUGCAGGGGGAGACUGGAAUUCCUGGUGUAGCGGUGGAAUGCGCAGAUAUCAGGAGGAACACCGAUGGCGAAGGCAGUUCUCUGGGCCGUAACUGACGCUGAGGAGCGAAAGCGUGGGGAGCGAACAGG
rnacentral:rRNA from 1 species